rnacentral:rRNA from 1 species
GACGAACGCUGGCGGCGUGCUUAACACAUGCAAGUCGAACGGAAAGGCCCUGCUUUUGUGGGGUGCUCGAGUGGCGAACGGGUGAGUAACACGUGAGUAACCUGCCCUUGACUUUGGGAUAACUUCAGGAAACUGGGGCUAAUACCGGAUAGGAGCUCCUGCUGCAUGGUGGGGGUUGGAAAGUUUCGGCGGUUGGGGAUGGACUCGCGGCUUAUCAGCUUGUUGGUGGGGUAGUGGCUUACCAAGGCUUUGACGGGUAGCCGACCUGAGAGGGUGACCGGCCACAUUAGGACUGAGGUACGGCCCAGACGCCUACGGGAGGCAGCAGUGGGGAAUAUUGCACAAUGGGCGGAAGCCUGAUGCAGCAACGCCGCGUGCGGGAUGACGGCCUUCGGGUUGUAAACCGCUUUCGCCUGUGACGAAGCGUGAGUGACGGUAAUGGGUAAAGAAGCACCGGCUAACUACGUG